GACGAACGCUGGCGGCGUGCCUAAUACAUGCAAGUAGAACGCUGAAGGAGGAGCUUGCUCUUCUGGAUGAGUUGCGAACGGGUGAGUAACGCGUAGGUAACCUGCCUGGUAGCGGGGGAUAACUAUUGGAAACGAUAGCUAAUACCGCAUAACAGUAGAUGUUGCAUGACAUUUACUUAAAAGGUACACUUGCAUAACUACCAGAUGGACCUGCGUUGUAUUAGCUAGUUGGUGGGGUAACGGCUCACCAAGGCGACGAUACAUAGCCGACCUGAGAGGGUGAUCGGCCACACUGGGACUGAGACACGGCCCAGACUCCUACGGGAGGCAGCAGUAGGGAAUCUUCGGCAAUGGACGGAAGUCUGACCGAGCAACGCCGCGUGAGUGAAGAAGGUUUUCGGAUCGUAAAGCUCUGUUGUAAGAGAAGAACGAGUGUGAGAGUGGAAAGUUCACAAUGUGACGGUAUCUUACCAGAAAGGGACGGCUAACUACGUG
rnacentral:rRNA from 1 species